AGAUUGAACGCUGGCGGCAGGCCUAACACAUGCAAGUCGAGCGGCAGCACGGGUACUUGUACCUGGUGGCGAGCGGCGGACGGGUGAGUAAUGCCUAGGAAUCUGCCUGAUAGUGGGGGAUAACGUUCGGAAACGGACGCUAAUACCGCAUACGUCCUACGGGAGAAAGUGGGGGAUCUUCGGACCUCACGCUAUCAGAUGAGCCUAGGUCGGAUUAGCUAGUUGGUAGGU
rnacentral:rRNA from 1 species